rnacentral:rRNA from 1 species
AUUGAACGCUGGCGGCAGGCCUAACACAUGCAAGUCGAGCGAGCGGCGGACGGGUGAGUAAUGUAUGGGGACUGCCCGAUAGAGGGGGAUAACUACUGGAAACGGUGGCUAAUACCGCAUACUAUCGGAUAACCCAUAUGGGAUUAGCUAGUAGGUGGGGUAAAGGCUCACCUAGGCGACGAUCUCUAGCUGGUCUGAGAGGAUGAUCAGCCACACUGGUACUUGGACACGGCCCAGACUCCUACGGAGGCAGCAGUGGGGAAUAUUGCACAAUGGGAGCAAGCCUGAUGGAGCAAUGCCGCGUGUAUGAAGAAGGCCUUAGGAUUGUAAAACACUGUAAGGAGGGAGGCGGUACCUAAAGAGAAAGCAACGGCUAACUACGUGCCAGCAGCCGCGGUAAUAC